rnacentral:tRNA from 1 species
GGUUCCAUAGUGUAGCAGUUAGCAUGUCUGCUUUACAUGCAGAAGGUCCUGGGUUCGCGCCCCAGUGGAGCCA